rnacentral:rRNA from 1 species
GGGGAACGGGGGGGAGGGGGGCGUGGGAAGACGGGGGGGGCGGGGGGUAAUUGGAAUUGCUGGGCGGAAAGGGUGCGCAGGCGGUUUGUUAAGAGAGAUGUGAAAGCCCUGGGCUCAACCGAGGAAUAGCAUUUCGAACUGGCGAACUAGAGUCUUGUAGAGGGGGGUAGAAUUCCAGGUGUAGCGGUGAAAUGCGUAGAGAUCUGGAGGAAUACCGGUGGCGAAGGCGGCCCCCUGGACAAAGACUGACGCUCAUGCACGAAAGCGUGGGGAGCAAACAGGAUUAGAUACCCCAGAGUC